rnacentral:piRNA from 1 species
CAGGAACACAUAGAGAAGCUGAACAGC